GAUGAACGCUGACAGAAUGCUUAACACAUGCAAGUCUUUGGCGAAGCUGUGCUUGCACAGCCUAGCCAAGGCGGACGGGUGAGUAACGCGUAAGGAACUUGCCCUGCAGUCAGGGAUAACAGACGGAAACGACUGAUAAGACCUGGUAAAGUCAGUCGGACUCAUGUCCAGCCUGAUGAAAAGAGAUGCUGCAGGAGAGCCUUGCGUCCUAUUAGCUUGUUGGUGGGGUAACGGCCCACCAAGGCGAUGAUAGGUAGCCGGCCUGAGAGGGUGGACGGCCACAAGGGGACUGAGAUACGGCCCUUACUCCUACGGGAGGCAGCAGUGGGGAAUAUUGGACAAUGGGGGCAACCCUGAUCCAGCAAUUCUGUGUGCACGUUGAAGGUUUUCGGAUUGUAAAGUGCUUUCAGCAGGGAAGAAAAAAAUGACGGUACCUGCAGAAGAAGCGACGGCUAAAUACGUG
rnacentral:rRNA from 1 species